rnacentral:rRNA from 1 species
GUGAGUCAUCGAAUCUUUGAACGCAACUUGCGCCCUCUGGUAUUCCGGAGGGCAUGCCUGUUUGAGUGUCGUGAACACCUCAACCCUCCAGUGUUUUUUCAUUGAAGGCGUUGGUAGUGAGCGCUGCCGGACUUUUAAAUCGGCUCGCUUUAAAAUCAUUAGCUGGAUCCAUUCUGACCUGGUUCUACUCGGCGUAAUAAGUUAUUAUCGUCGAGGACGCCUGGCCUUCUGGGCAGGCGGCCACAGUAAGGGUGUUUGAACCGCUUCCAAACACGUCUUGCUCUUGUAGCAAACACUUGAACCUCUGUACCUCAAAUCAGGCAGGACUACCCGCUGAACUUAAGCAUAUCAAUAAGCGGAGG